CAAAAUGUAAAGGAAUGCAAGCAAUAUAAUCAGAAAUGCUGAGUUUGUUAUUCUAUUUCCUCUACAGGACCUAAGGAAAGGAGCACGAAAUUGUUAUGAGCAGAAAUUCUACUCAUAAGAUCCUAGCGUUCGAGGUCUAGGUAUCUCCAGAAAAGGGAGAUUAAGGAGAUGAAUUUUCUGAUUAGUUUCUGAUAUCCAAAACGAAACAAAAGCCAUGACUGUACUCAGAAAGCACAUCACCUAUCUAUUUUAUGCCUUUCUUCUUUUCUCUGUUUGGGAAUCGACAAUGAGCAUUCUCGAUCACCAAGCUCCUUUUCUGGUCGCUUCUCCCACUCAGCUUCAUUGUGCUCUUCUUCUUGGGAUCUCCCCCGCCUCUCCCUCUGCCUCUGGAGACAAGAUCAGUGCUUGAUUUUCUCGCCAAACUGGAAGCUAAAGAGGAUUGUGAAUCGUGAUGUGAAGAUUUAGGAAGUGCCUCACAAAUCACAAUGGCGUCUAUCAUACUAUUAUGGCCGAUGCAAUAAGCGCUCAGUUUAUUCGUUUGUAGUCUGUCUCUUCUCUUUUUAUUGUCGGACGCUGCCAAAAAAAAAUUGUAGGAACUGGUUAUUCAUAGAUAAAAUUAGAAAUAGAAAAUCUUUAUCGCUGUGCUGUGUAAUAUUGUGUUCUUAAAUAAUAAUAUUUCUUCA